rnacentral:rRNA from 1 species
UACAGAGGGUGCAAGCGUUGUUCGGAAUUACUGGGCGUAAAGGGCGCGUAGGCUGUUCUAUAAGUUAGACGUUAAAUCUCGGAGCUUAACUCCGAAAGUGCGUUUAAUACUGUAGGACUAGAGAAUGGGGGAGGUAAAUGGAAUUCCUAGUGUAGAGGUAGAAUUCAUAGAUAUUAGGAGGAACACCAAAUGCGAAGGCAAUUUACUGGAACAUAUCUGACGCUGAGGCGCGAAAGCGUGGGGAGCAAACAGG